GAUANNGGCAAGCUGAGUNUCNNAGAGGGGGGUAGAAUUNCAGGUGUAGCGGUGAAAUGCGUAGAGAUCUGGAGGAAUACCGGUGGNGNNGGCGGCCCCCUGGACGAAGACUGACGCUCAGGUGCGAAAGCGUGGGGAGCAAACAGGAUUAGAUACCNUGGUAGUCCACGCCGUAAACGANGUCGACUUGGAGGUUGUGCCNNGAGGCGUGGCUUCCGGAGCUAACGCGUUAAGUCGACCGCCUGGGGAGUACGGCCGCAAGGUUAAAACUCAAAUGAAUUGACGGGGGCCCGCACAAGCGGUGGAGCAUGUGGUUUAAUUCGAUGCAACGCGAAGAACCUUACCUGGUCUUGACAUCCACGGAAGUUUUCAGAGAUGAGAAUGUGCCUUCGGGAACCGUGAGACAGGUGCUGCAUGGCUGUCGUCAGCUCGUGUUGUGAAAUGUUGGGUUAAGUCCCGCAACGAGCGCAACCCUUAUCCUUUGUUGCCAGCGGUCCGGCCGGGAACUCAAAGGAGACUGCCAGUGAUAAACUGGAGGAAGGUGGGGAUGACGUCAAGUCAUCAUGGCCCUUACGACCAGGGCUACACACGUGCUACAAUGGCGCAUACAAAGAGAAGCGACCUCGCGAGAGCAAGCGGACCUCAUAAAGUGCGUCGUAGUCCGGAUUGGAGUCUGCAACUCGACUCCAUGAAGUCGGAAUCGCUAGUAAUCGUGGAUCAGAAUGCCACGGUGAAUACGUUCCCGGGCCUUGUACACACCGCCCGUCACACCAUGGGAGUGGGUUGCAAAAGAAGUAGGUAGCUUAACCUUCGGGAGGGCGCUUACCACUUUGUGAUUCAUGACUGGGGUGAAGUCGUAACAAGGUAGCAAUCACUAGUGAAUUCGCGGCCGCCUGCAGGUCGACCAUAUGGGAGAGCUCC
rnacentral:rRNA from 1 species